UGAUCCUGCCGGAGGCCAUUGCUAUCGGAGUCCGAUUUAGCCAUGCUAGUUGCACGAGUUCAGACUCGUGGCAGAUAGCUCAGUAACACGUGGCCAAGCUACCCUAUGGAGAGGGAUAACCCCGGGAAACUGGGGCUAAUACCUCAUAACGCUCCCCCACUGGAAUGUGGGGAGCCGGAAAUGCGUUAGCGCCAUAGGAUGCGGCUGCGGUCGAUUAGGUAGACGGUGGGGUAACGGCCCACCGUGCCGAUAAUCGGUACGGGUCGUGAGAGCGAGUGCCCGGAGAUGGAUUCUGAGACAAGAAUCCAGGCCCUACGGGGCGCAGCAGGCGCGAAAACUUUACACUGCACGCAAGUGCGAUAAGGGGACUCCGAGUGUGUGGGCAUAGAGCCCACACUUUUGUGUACCGUAAGGUGGUACACGAAUAAGAGCUGGGCAAGACCGGUGCCAGCCGCCGCGGUAAUACCGGCAGCUCGAGUGAUGGCCGAUUUUAUUGGGCCUAAAGCGUCCGUAGCCGGCCGGGCAAGUCCGUUGGGAAAUCUGUUCGCUUAACGAACAGGCGUCCAGCGGAAACUGCUCGGCUUGGGACCGAAAGACCUGAGGGGUACGUCCGGGGUAGAGUGAAAUCCUGUAAUCCUGGACGGACCGCCGAUGGGGAAACCACCUCAGGAGGACGGAUCCGACGGUGAGGGACGAAAGCUAGGGUCUCGAACCGGAUUAGAUACCCGGGUAGUCCUAGCUGUAAACGAUGUCUGCUAGGUGUGGCACAGGCUACGAGCCUGUGCUGUGCCGUAGGGAAGCCGAGAGCAGACCGCCUGGGAAGUACGUCCGCAAGGAUGAAACUUAAAGGAAUUGGCGGGGGAGCACUACAACCGGAGGAGCCUGCGGUUUAAUUGGACUCAACGCCGGACAUCUCACCAGCAUCGACUGUGGUAAUGACGGUCAGGUUGAUGACCUUACCCGAGCCACAGAGAGGAGGUGCAUGGCCGCCGUCAGCUCGUACCGUGAGGCGUCCUGUUAAGUCAGGCAACGAGCGAGACCCGCAUCCUUACUUGCCAGCAGCACCGCGAGGUGGCUGGGGACAGUAGGGAGACCGCCGUGGCUAACACGGAGGAAGGAACGGGCAACGGUAGGUCAGUAUGCCCCGAAUAUGCUGGGCAACACGCGGGCUACAAUGGCCGAGACAAUGGGUUCCAACGCCGAGAGGCGACGGUAAUCUCAGAAACUCGGUCGUAGUUCGGAUUGUGGACUGAAACUCGUCCACAUGAAGCUGGAUUCGGUAGUAAUCGCGUGUCAGAAGCGCGCGGUGAAUACGUCCCUGCUCCUUGCACACACCGCCCGUCAAAGCACCCGAGUGAGGUCCGGAUGAGGCUCCCGAGAGGGAGUCGAAUCUGGGCUUCGCAAGGGGGCUUAAGUCGUAACAAGGUAGCCGUAGGGGAAUCUGCGGCUGGAU
rnacentral:rRNA from 1 species